AUUAACGCGAUGAUAAGGAUAAGUAUUUGGUCAUUUACUUAUAGAGAGUUAGUGGUUGGUGAAAACUAACAGUAAACCCGAAGAAAUCAACCUUUGAGCGAUUUAGCGAAUUAAGUAACUAAAUCCGGUAGUACCGUUAUAACUUUAAGGACUGUAUAGUUGAAGAAGGGUGGCAACGCGCUGGAUAGCGCCCCUUUA
rnacentral:ncRNA from 1 species